rnacentral:lncRNA from 1 species
CCAGUUCUUGGGCUCUAACUCAGAUUAUCUGCAUCAGGUUCUUUGAAGAUGAGGCCACUUCCGCAUUGUUAAGAAGUUCCAUGGAUUCUCAUGCACGGUAAAGUUGAAGAAUCACUGUUCUCCACGAUUUUGUGUCUGUACUGGAGAAGUUGGCUCAGAGAUGUAUGUAUAUUAUUAUCAUAUAUUGUUAAAGCUAUUUUGAUAGAUAACAUCAAUAACAAUGACUGUAUCCAUUGAGUAUUUACUAGGUGUGAGACCUUAUAGCAAG